rnacentral:rRNA from 1 species
UACGAAGGGGGCGAGCGUUAUUCGGAAUCACUGGGCGUAAAGCGUGCGUAGGCUGUUCAGAAAGUCAGGAGUGAAAGCCCAAGGCUCAACCUUGGAAGUGCUCUUGAAACUUCUGGACUAGAAUUCAGGAGAGGAUAGCGGAAUUCCCAGUGUAGCAGUGAAAUGCGUAGAUAUUGGGAGGAACACCAGUGGCGCAAGCGGCUAUCUGGACCGACAUUGACGCUGAGGCACGAAAGCGUGGGGAUCAAACAGG